UCUCUGGUAGUAUAUCGGUUAGUACACGCGCCUGUCAUCCUCAUAGGAACGUUUAAACCAUUGCGCGCGAAAGCUGGGUUCGACUCCCAGCCAGAGAG